GAUGAACGCUGGCGGCGCGCCUAACACAUGCAAGUCGAACGGCACCCCUCCUCGGAGGGAAGCGAGUGGCGAACGGCUGAGUAACACGUGGAGAACCUGCCCCCUCCCCCGGGAUAGCCGCCCGAAAGGACGGGUAAUACCGGAUACCCCGGGGUGCCGCAUGGCACCCCGGCUAAAGCCCCGACGGGAGGGGAUGGCUCCGCGGCCCAUCAGGUAGACGGCGGGGUGACGGCCCACCGUGCCGACAACGGGUAGCCGGGUUGAGAGACCGACCGGCCAGAGGGGGAGUGGGACACGGCCCAGACUCCUACGGGGGGGAGGAGGGGGGAAUCUUGCGCAGGGGGGGGAACCCUGACGCAGCGACGGCGGGGGGGGGAGGGAGGCCUUGGGGUCGUAAACCGCUUUAAGAAGGGAAGGGUAAAGACUGUACCGGCAAAAGAAGCCCCGGCAAACUACGG
rnacentral:rRNA from 1 species